GCGAACGCUGGCGGCAGGCUUAAUACAUGCAAGUCGAGCGCCUGUAGCAAUACAGGAGCGGCAGACGGGAGAGUAACACGUGGGAACGUGCCCUUUGGUUCGGAACAACACAGGGAAACUUGUGCUAAUACCGGAUAAGCCCUUACGGGGAAAGAUUUAUCGCCAAAGGAUCGGCCCGCGUCUGAUUAGCUAGUUGGUGGGGUAAUGGCCCACCAAGGCGACGAUCAGUAGCUGGUCUGAGAGGAUGAUCAGCCUCAUUGGGACUGAGACACGGCCCAAACUCCUACGGGAGGCAGCAGUAGGGAAUAUUGGACAAUGGGGGCAACCCUGAUCCAGCCAUGCCGCGUGAGUGAUGAAGGCCUUAGGGUUGUAAAGCUCUUUCGGCGGGGAAGAUAAUGACGGUACCCGCAUAAGAAGCCCCGGCUAACUUCGU
rnacentral:rRNA from 1 species